rnacentral:rRNA from 1 species
GAUGAACGCUGGCGGCGUGCCUAACACAUGCAAGUCGAACGAAGCUUGACGAAUGAUUUUUUCGGUAAUGAAUUCUGAUAUGACUUAGUGGCGGACGGGUGAGUAAUACUUAGGAAUCUACCUAGUAGUGGGGGAUAGCUCGGGGAAACUCGAAUUAAUACCGCAUACGACCUACGGGAGAAAGGGGGCAACUUGUUGCUCUCGCUAUUAGAUGAGCCUAAGUCGGAUUAGCUAGAUGGUGGGGUAAAGGCCUACCAUGGCGACGAUCUGUAGCUGGUCUGAGAGGAUGAUCAGCCACACCGGGACUGAGACACGGCCCGG